rnacentral:rRNA from 1 species
GUGGCGGACGGGUGAGUAACACGUAAGAAUUUACCUUUAGGAGGGGGAUAACAACUGGAAACGGUUGCUAAUACCCCAUAUGCUUUCGAGUGAAAUGGAUUUUUCCGCCUAAAGAGGAGCUUGCGGCUGAUUAGCUUGUUGGUGAGGUAAUGGCUCACCAAGGCGACGAUCAGUAUCUGGUUUGAGAGGACGAUCAGACACACUGGAACUGAGACACGGUCCAGACUCCUACGGGAGGCGGCAGUGGGGAAUUUUCCGCAAUGGGCGAAAGCCUGACGGAGCAAUACCGCGUGAGGGAUGACGGCCUAUGGGUUGUAAACCUCUUUUUUCAGGGAGGAAUCAAUGACGUGUACCUGAAGAAUAAGCAUCGGCUAACUCCGUGCCAGCAGCCGCGGUAAGACGGAGGAUGCAAGUGUUAUCCGGAAUCACUGGGCGUAAAGCGUCUGUAGGUGGUCUAGUAAGUCAACUGUUAAAUCUUGAGGCUCAACUUCAAAAUCGCAGUCGAAACUAUUAGACUAGAGUAUAGUAGGGGUAAAGGGAAUUUCCAGUGGAGCGGUGAAAUGCGUAGAGAUUGGAAAGAACACCGAUGGCGAAGGCACUUUACUGGGCUAUUACUGACACUGAGAGACGAAAGCUAGGGUAGCAAAUGGGAUUAGAUACCCCAGUAGUCCUAGCUGUAAACAAUGGAUACUAGAUGUUGAACAGAUCGACCUGUGCAGUAUCAAA